rnacentral:rRNA from 1 species
AUGGUGCCUCUAUUAGAUUUUGGCUUGACUGGUGGGGCGGGGGUGGACUUUGGCUUUCGCCGGGCCCUGUCUCCUGUAGAGUUGGAGGAUUGGCACCAUCUUGUUGCUCUCCUCCCUGCGCUCUCGGAGUCUCGGGAUGUGGUCUCUUGGCCACAUUAUGUCUCUGAUCGCUUCUCUGUUAAGUCAUGCUAUCGUGUGUUGUCUUUGGGUUCGGUGGUUAACAAGUUUAAGCCUGUUUGGGCGGCCAGGAUGCCGCCCAAAAUCAAAAAAAUUAUGUGGCAGGCCAUGCGUGGCCGCUUGCCGGCUGUGGAUCAGAUUAAGAAACGGCAUGGGUCGGGCUCGAAGUUUUGUGCCCAGUGCUUUGAAGAUAUGGACCACAUUCUCUUCCGGUGCCCUUUGGCUAAAAUAAAGAUCAAGUUACAAGGCACCGCCUAUCCCUUUCCUUCGAUACCACCGAAGCGGCCACCAAAGGGUAAAAAGACAGAUCACCUCUUCGCCCAAGCUCGACGCGGCUCCAUCGCUGAUCAGCAGCUUUACGGACCUCCAAAAGCGGAGGAACGGGUUCCCCCUCCCUCCUGCCGUCGGAGCAGCGGCCGGAGGGAGAGGGGGCCAGCGCACCGGCCGGUGGAGAUCGGAGGAAAAGAGUGGCCUCGCCCUAGUCGCCUGGUGGCGGCGGCGGCUAGGAAGUCUCUGACUAAGGACGGCGACAAGGCGGCUGUGGAGCUUCUUAUUUCCCGCGUUCAUUCUUCGGCAAGCACUAUCCUGGGCGGUGAUCGUGCCGGUCCGCAGCAGCCUAAAAAUGUGUGUGAUCAGCUCUCCAAUGGCUCCUGGAUCAGGGUCCUUGGGAAGAAAGUCGUCAUUGUACAUGAAUCUCCAACCGUCCCCCACGAGUCCCCUCAGGACAACUUUUUGGGCACCGGCGGAAAAAAAUGCCCCAGUCGUACUCUAGGGUAUUGUUUUGUGCCGGAUUUGUCUCAAAAAUCAUCCAGCGAUCCCACCCGAAACCCAGCCUACCGGGGGGGCGUCUGGGGGCGCCGGCGCUAUCUUUUGCAUGCGAAAACCCCACAAGUCAGUCUCUUUCCUCACUCUUUCUCCUCUUUUCCUCACACCCGCCGUGGAACAGUCCUUCCCAACGCGCCCAACCACGAAUGCCAGCACCUCCACGGCCGUGUACCGACGCCGGCAGCCACGUCGAAGAAGUCGGCCACGCGCGCGUCGGGGUCGCCAGCGCGCUGGCGCAGUUCGGCCUCGAGCCUGGCGAGCACGGCGUCGGCGAGCAGCGCGUCCCCCGCGCCUGCCCCGCAGCGCGUCUCCAGCCCGUGCAGCUCGACAGACUGCAUCCCUCCCGGAGGAGCACGCCAGCCCGUGCAGUUCUCCGCGACCUCCGUGCGCCGCAUGGCUGCACUGGCUGCAGUCUUCACGACCAUUCUCCGGCGCCGAGCUCGACUACAUCGCGUCGCUGGACCCUUUCAAGGACGCCGAGAUGCUCCGGGAAGAGUUGCCAUCCCUGAUGAUCCGCGAGUUCUCGUCGACGGAGCCCCGCGCCGCGGCCACAUCCUUCUCCUCCGGCGGGGCAGGGGCGACGCCCGUCACCAUCAACCACGCCUCCCGCAAGGCAGGCUUCAGCCUGUUAAAGCAUGCCCAGUAGAAUCGCCACUGGUUCUGACUACACGUAUAAAUUCAAGAAAAAAAAGGCAGUAUCCUGCCAAGCAUCAUCCGUGGGUGUUUAUUGGCUUCCAUGGUGAGAAUGCCCUCAAGAAGGAAACGAUACCCAUGGGCACCGUUGCCAUUGAAAUCAUCCCUUGUCAAAGUCUUAAACAUUUUUGCCUGGAGCCACCGAAAACCUCCACCCCCUCGCCUAACCUUGAGAAAAGGGCCCUACGCCCCUCUACUUGCUCGAGUCCAGGGAAGGGGACUAGCCGUUGCCCGCACCGCACCUGCAAUAGCAGACCGCCCACGCCGCACACAUCGCCCCUCGAGGCGCCGAAUGGUCCACCAGUUGCUACCGCGGGAUUCCCUCACCGCCAGAGGCUAGACAAGAGGAGCAAGUCCCGUUGUCAUCAGCUCCGCCCGGGUUUCACCCGGUUGAGUGACGGCGAGCGAAGAGGCGAGGUAGAGGGGCGGGGAGGGAGGACAGAGCCGCCGCCACCCGUGUCGUCUAGGGAAGGGAGUGACGCCGACAUUUAA